GCUGACUCGCGCACCAGCAGCGGGACAGGCAAAGCUGUACAGACGCUGCUUGCGCACCGUGCGCGUUCACGCUCCGUGCGCGGCACCACCACCCGGACUAGUGCACUUCCUGAGCCACAGUGGCGUCGUCGCCUCACCAACCACAGGUGUGCUGUGCUGUGACAGACAUCCCACUUGAGGCUCAUUCAUGAACAUCACUCAGACAUUAAUGCCGUCAGAAGUCAUGGGGUGUCAGAGGGUUUCAGUUCUCUGUGUGAAGAGUCCCACAGGAUGCUGUGUUUGGAUUUCAGUGUUUCUCCUGCUCAUCUUCAUUCAGGUGUCAGCCUCCCUGGUGUACUUUGGUGGUGUGUUCGCUAUCUUUGAUAAUGCCCUCAUCAGCCCCUUUCAAAUAUGUCCAAAACAUGGUGAACUGUACUUCUACUCUGUUCAGGGAGCUGAGUCCAAGAUAAACAUUAACAUCCUUGAACCAGCAGUUAUCCUGUCUCUGUAUGUUAGUGUGGUGCUGGUGGCCUUUGCCCUGCUGUCCAUGGUUUUAGCUGCCUAUGCCAAAGACAAACCAGCACUGAAGUGUAGCAUGGUCUGCCAGGCUGCAUCAGGACUACUCAUCGUGAUUGGCAUUAUUGGUUUUAUGAUACUCAAUCACUCAUGUCUGAUUGGGGGUCACAUGACGCUCUCGUUCUACGUCUGUGUUGGUGUGCAGGUUGAG